AUUGAACGCUGGCGGCAGGCCUAACACAUGCAAGUCGAACGAGUGGCGGACGGGUGAGUAAUGUCUGGGAAACUGCCUGAUGGAGGGGGAUAACUACUGGAAACGGUAGCUAAUACCGCAUACCAUCGGAUGUGCCCAGAUGGGAUUCGCUAGUAGGUGGGGGAAAGGCUCACCUAGGCGACGAUCCCUAGCUGGUCUGAGAGGAUGACCAGCGACCCUGGAGCUAGGGCACGGUCCAGAAUCCUACGGGAGGCAGCAGUGGGGAAUAUUGCACAAUGGGCGCAAGCCUUAUGCAGCCAUGCCGCGUGUAUGAAGAAGGCCUUCGGGUUGGAAAGUACUUUCAGCAGGGAGGCGUUACCCGCAGAAGAAGCACCGGCUAACUCCGUGCCAGCAGCCGCGGUAAUAC
rnacentral:rRNA from 1 species